rnacentral:rRNA from 1 species
GAUGAACGCUGGCGGCGUGCCUAAUACAUGCAAGUCGAGCGAACAGACGAGGAGCUUGCUCCUUUGACGUUAGCGGCGGACGGGUGAGUAACACGUAGGUAACCUACCUAUAAGACUGGGAUAACUUCGGGAAACCGGAGCUAAUACCGGAUAAUAUUUCGAACCGCAUGGUUCGAUAGUGAAAGAUGGCUUUGCUAUCACUUAUAGAUGGACCUGCGCCGUAUUAGCUAGUUGGUAAGGUAACGGCUUACCAAGGCAACGAUACGUAGCCGACCUGAGAGGGGUGACCGCCACAACUGAACCUGAGCCCCGGUCAGACCCCCAACGGAAGCAACCGUAAGGGAACCUUCGGAACUGGCGGAAGCCCUGACGGGCAACCGCGGCGUGGGGAAUAAAGGUCUCGGGAUGGUAAAACUCGGUUAUAGGGAAAGACAAAACGUGAAGGAACUGUGCACGUCUUGACGGUACCUAAUCAGAAAGCCACGGCUAACUACGUG